GGCCGCGGUAUUCUAACCGUGCAAAGGUAGCGUAAUCACUUGUCUUCUAAAUAAAGACUAGUAUGAACGGCUAAAUGAGGACAGGCCUGUCUCCUACACCCAAUCAGUGAAACUGAUCUUCCAGUACAAAAGCUGGAAUAUACACAUUAGACGAGAAGACCCUGUGGAGCUUUAAACCAACUAUUAAAAAGCACACUGCGGCACCUAAUACACGGUUUUAAGUUGGGGCGACUUCGGAAAAAAACAAAACUUCCAAGCACAGAACCAAAAAUUCUAACAAUGGCCAACAAGCCAAAGUUUAAACAACAAGACCCAGUACCACUGAGCAACGAACCAAGUUACCCCAGGGAUAACAGCGCUAUCUUCUUCAAGAGUCCAUAUCGACAAGAAGGUUUACGACCUCGAUGUUGGAUCAGGACACCCAAAUGGUGCAGCCGCUAUUAAUGGUUCGUUUGUUCAACGAUUAACAGUCCU
rnacentral:rRNA from 1 species